UUUCAGGUAAUAAUGCAAUUUAGAACAGAACUGUGUUCUUUGUGAAUCAAUCUUAUAUGGUUCAUUUUAUCAUAUUAUAGUAUUCUUUAUUCGUAAUGCCUAGAGCCGAGUUGCUAAUGAUUUUGGCAAUAGACAUGCUGUUAUUCUUACAGGUGUUGACUAUGGAUCAGGUUAUUUUGGGAUCAAUGGGUGCAUUAUUACAAUGAGUGUCCUAUCCGUCAUUAUUGGCUGAAUAUGUCAUUCAGUGCCUGCUGAGUUUCAAACUAGUAGUCUGUUCCAUAUUGAUUCUUUCUUGGUAUUUGUGUUAUGAAAUGUGUUCUGUUCAACUGAUUACCUGAUUAAAAGAAAGAGAAAUUAAAGUGAGAGGAUAUUGUGAGAAAUAACAAAGAUGAUCGAGUUAUUUCCGUGGGGUAUCAUAAAUUGUUAUGUUGCAAUUCUCCAAUUAGUGAUGCAUCUUUUAAAGGAAAUGAGUUUAUGAUCAUCUACUGUUCGACAAACUUUUCUUCUUUGCAACCAGGAUUUCUUAAUAACAAACAGCCUUGCCCAUCGAAGAAAAUGCAGCAGUGGCCCUUUUGAUGUAAUUUGGUCUGAAAUCAAUUGAAUAUGCAUGGUUACUUCCAUCCAGAUUAGCUAAAACUGGUGAUCAAGGCAACCAGGAAUCUGACGAAUUUGUUGAAGCUGAGAAGCUUGUGAAGGAAAAGGUUAUGCAUUUGCAGCUACCUCGUGGAUUCCAUUCUCUAAACAAAUCUUCUGUGUCGAAACGGCUGUAGAAUCCACUUGAAGUUCUGAGAAGUCAUUCAUCGCUGCAAGAUGCUUUUUCUAUUGCAGUGAGAAUAAUUUUUUAUGGUCUAUAAAACAUAUUCUUUGGAUCUCAGUUACAACUUAGGUGCUUAAGCAUGAACUUAACUUUGUGUAUUGCCUUUGUUCUAAAAUUUGAACAAUUACAAUUUGCUGUUGCUUUUAGGAAUGAGGAGACCAUUCAAUGCUGGAAAUAAUAUCUCUUGUCUCCAUGGGGAGUCAGCAGUGGGGCUAUCAUGGGACACCUCCUAGAAACAUCAAUUACUAUACUUGGAGGUGCAUUUCUUGCCAACUACAUUUCUGAGAAACUGGUAAAAACAAAAUGAAAUCUCUUUCUAUAGAUAACAACAAAUUGAUUUCCAUUACCACUCAUAUUUUAAAUCAGGUUGGGUACAUUGGUGGAAUGUUGUUUAUAUUUUUCUUCUGUUGCUAUAUUCUAUUAGGAAUGUGACUCAAAUUAGGAGAUUGAAGAAGGAUAAUUUGACUAGAGUUGGAAAGGAGAUCAAAUUCCUAAUUGUAACCUAAUUUCUUACCUUUUGGGACUCCACUUAGGGUUUGGCCGUGUCUAUAAAUAUUAGGCUCCUUUGUUAGUUUAGGUAGAGUAACAGAUAGAAGCCAAUUGCUAAAUUACUUUGUAUUUUUCGUAUUGUUGAAUUAAUAAACAUCG